CAUGCUAUAAAACAAACAAGUGCAGCAACCAAAUGCAAUCAUCAAGCCAGACUCUAUACUACCAAUUUCUAACGUUCGUGCGGUCUAGGGCGUCCUAUAGCCAGACCUACUCUGAUACCAAGCCUGUGGCACCCCGGCUCAGAGAAACCGGAACGCCCCAUAUUCCAGCCCAGAGAUCGAGAACUCCUUUGGAAUACGGCACUGCUUAGCAUAGAACAAACCAACUUUCUAUUAUUACACGAAUAUGAAUACAAAGUCUCCGAUAUUACAAUGAAUAACAUCGGUACGGCGACACUACGCCAUCCUCAGUUGCUCUAUGCUAGCAACAGAACAACACGAUGUAGUGGAAGAACUCUAGCAGCGGAACAAUGGCGAUGGUGGUGAACUCCACUCCGCAGGGACUCUGGAUGGGACGCUUAUCCUAGCUUGCAAACAAGGACUCCACGGCAAACAAGCAAUCAAAUCCGGAAUGACCUGCAAGCUGGCAUGACACGCCAAGUCAGUACAUUGAAUGUACUUGCAAGCUCACAAUAAUCUAGAAGCAUUCAAGACAAACAACAACAUGGCAAUUAUAGGUUAAACAAGAAUUAUCAUGAUAUCAUCAGAACCAUAUAGCAUGAACAACUUGAACAUGAUAGAGUUAACUCAACAUGAACAUGGCAUGAACAUAUUAAUUCGACAAUACUAUCAUGCAACAUGAUGUCACUACAUGCACCACUUAUACCGCUCAGGCUACCUCGUAACCAACACAUGCAUCACUUACCAACCUCGGACAUCGCACGAUCAUCUCAGGAUCAAAUCAAGCUUGGUAUAAACAACACCGUAGCGAUCAGUAAAUGACCACAAGGAGCUUGAUCUUUACCCACGACUCUCGCACAACAUCACGAAUAUAAAACAACUCGGUAUCCUCGAUACCAUCGUGAUCCUUACGGCGAUCACAACCCAACCAACACUUGGCCCCAAACCGUGAUCCUUACGGCGAUCACAACCCGACCAACACUUGGCCCGUGAUCCUUACGGCGAUCAUAACCCGACCAGUUCUUGGCCCGUGAUCCUUACGGCGAUCACAACCCGACCAACACUUAGGCCGUGAUCCUUAUGAUGAUCACAACCAACUUAUCUCAUUGUCAUUAAUCAAGUUAUUCUUAUUACUGUUGACUCAUGGUGUGACCUACUUUUGACCUAGGCCCUUAUCUGCGGGCAUGGCUAUCGAUAGAUUUAAUAUACACUCUGCAGAGGUUAGUACACUGCACCCACACCAUGGAACUCAUGGCCUCGCACUCCCAUUCGGGUGGACCAACAGCAUUCCGACAAAACCGUCCUACUGCCAUGACACUCUCCCGGCAACUCCGACUCACUCCCCACUAGAUUAAGUCAUGGGUGGCCCCGUGUCUACCUCCAGACACAGCGACCACCGCCGUGGCCAAAAAAUAAAUGAUCCCACAUGGGGAUCCGCCGGCUAUAACAACUACGGGCACACAAGGUUAUGCUUGCUUACCGGGCCAGGGUACAGCACGCCCAUAACCUUCCCUCGUUGGAGGCACCGGGGAGAGGAACGACAAUAGUCCUAGUUAGGAUCGUCCCAUACCGGUAAGCGUGGUUGCACUGGUCAGCAUCGAUUCAGCGGCACCAUGACUCAGCCAACAGUUUUUCAAGUUCAAUUUAAUCCGGUUAACUUGAAUGCAAAUAUGUUGAGCCAUGAUAAAAUACAUGAACAUGAUAUCAACAUUAUCAUGAGAGUAUCACAUAACGUUCCACCAUAUCAACAAUAAAUCAUAUUCACCGAGCAUCGCAUUCUGACUAGCAUGACCAUCUCCAACAUCAACAUGUACUACUAACAAGCAUAAACAUAUGGAAGGUAAUACUAGCAGGCAUGACAUGAUCACAGAGUAUAAGACAACAUAGCACAAAAGUGAACAUGCAAAUCUGAACAUCACCGGAACAACGAUAACCAUCUUUUCAACAAGCAAACAUUUAUUAAAUAUUCAAGUUGAAAACCAUGGCUACUGCAUGAUUAUCAUGCAAGUGGGCAUUGUGGCUUGCCUGGGGAUGAAGAAGGCACCCGGGAGAAGGCGAGAAACUCGCGGAACGAAUCACCGAAAAACGUACUCUCUCGGAGGGGGCUGAAUAAGGGCAAGGGCAUAAAGGUCAUUUUCACAGUGUCAAACCAUAGUGAAAGCAUGACCAACAGAAUGGGCUCGACGAAACUAAGUAGUGAGCGUUGGUUUCACCUGAUUUAGAGCUACGAAUAAAAAGAUAUGGAUGUUUUUCUGCCAGGGACCCAUCUGUAAUGAAGAUAUUUUCAACCAGGGGCCUGAACAGAAAAAGAGAAAACGUAAUCUGUGAAAUACGCUUUCACCUUGUCCAUUUGAACAGUGGCGGGGCUGACGUGUGCGGGUCCCACGGGUGGGGCCCAACACUUUUCCACGUGGGCAUGGCGGGUCAAUGCCCUGUGGCCUACUAGUGGGGCCGAGGGGGCGCGAGACCCACUGACAGGGG
rnacentral:lncRNA from 1 species